rnacentral:rRNA from 1 species
UACGGGGGGAGCAAGCGUUGUUCGGAUUUACUGGGCGUAAAGGGCGCGUAGGCGGCCACCGCAAGUCGAUUGUGAAAUCUCCGGGCUUAACCCGGAAAGGUCAACCGAUACUGCGGGGCUAGAGUGCGGAAGGGGCAACUGGAAUUCUUGGUGUAGCGGUGAAAUGCGUAGAUAUCAAGAGGAACACCUGCGGCGAAGGCGGGUCUCUGGACAGUUCCUGACGCUGAGGCACGAAGGUCAGGGGAGCAAACGGG